rnacentral:rRNA from 1 species
AGGUUACUGCUAUCGGUGUUCGCGUAAGCCAUGCGAGUCAUAUGUUCGUAAGAACAUGGCGUACUGCUCAGUAACACGUGGAUAACCUGCCCUUGGGUCCGGCAUAACCCCGGGAAACUGGGGAUAAUUCCGGAUAACGCACAUAUGCUGGAAUGCUUUAUGCGUAAAAUGGAUUCGUCUGCCCAAGGAUGGGUCUGCGGCCUAUCAGGUAGUAGUGGGUGUAAUGUACCUACUAGCCUACGACGGGUACGGGUUGUGAGAGCAAGAGCCCGGAGAUGGAUUCUGAGACAUGAAUCCAGGCCCUACGGGGCGCAGCAGGCGCGAAAACUUUACAAUGCGGGAAACCGUGAUAAGGGGACACCGAGUGCCAGCAUCCUAUGCUGGCUGUCCGGGUGUGUAAAAUACACCUGUUAGCAAGGGCCGGGCAAGACCGGUGCCAGCCGCCGCGGUAACACCGGCGGCCCGAGUGGUGAUCGUGAUUAUUGGGUCUAAAGGGUCCGUAGCCGGUUUGGUCAGUCCUCCGGGAAAUCUGACAGCUUAACUGUUAGGCUUUCGGAGGAUACUGCCAGACUUGGAACCGGGAGAGGUAAGAGGUACUACAGGGGUAGGAGUGAAAUCUUGUAAUCCCUGUGGGACCACCUGUGGCGAAGGCGUCUUACCAGAACGGGUUCGACGGUGAGGGACGAAAGCUGGGGGCACGAACCGGAUUAGAUACCCGGGUAGUCCCAGCCGUAAACGAUGCUCGCUAGGUGUCAGGCAUGGCGCGACCGUGUCUGGUGCCGCAGGGAAGCCGUGAAGCGAGCCACCUGGGAAGUACGGCCGCAAGGCUGAAACUUAA